CAUUAUCUCUCUCCUCUCAUUUACACCCAUCCUCACUUGUCUCUCGUUUUCCUCUUAUUUUUGGCCAAAAAUACACACUCUUCACUCCUUCAUUAAUGUUCCUUGGUCAUUGGAGCUUGAGAUUGCUAGACUUUCCUUCCUCCAACCCAUCUCCUCUAUUUGGGUCACCUUGGAGCUCACCAUAAACCAGCCCAUUAUCUUCCUCCUCCAACCAUUUUCGAACACCACCUAGGACUUAAGGCUUGGAGGGUGAUUUUGUUGUGUUUUGAAGCUUAGAGCUUGGUAUUCUACUUCCCCAAGAGUAGUACUAGGGUUGAGGUUGGUGAUGUGGAUGUUGAAGUGGAACCCUCUGUGAGCUUGGUUCGUUAAACUUCCAAGAAAAGGUUUUGUUGUUGAUUAUGGGAUUGAGACUGUUUUAGAGCCUUGAGGAAACAAGAGAUUUACACCGUGUCAGGUACCACAGGUGGCAUGGGUGAUGGAUCCCAGGGUAGGAGGCUCGAACAGUGAUUAUUGUCAUACAUAUGUUGAUAUUGUACCCCUUGACAUAGUAGCAUUCUAGCACCGUAUUUUGGAGUUAUGACAUUCCAUGUUUUGAUAUUGUAUGUAAUUAUGUCAAGGUGGAUGUUAUGCAUUGGAGAUAUUAAACUGAUGGGUUGUGUAUUAAUGUAAAAAGAAUGAUGUACUUUGAGAACCUAUUAUAA